rnacentral:rRNA from 1 species
CCUACGGGUGGCAGCAGUGGGGAAUAUUGCGCAAUGGGCGAAAGCCUGACGCAGCGACGCCGCGUGAGGGAUGAAGGUCUUCGGAGCGGAAAACUCUGUCAGCAGGGAAGAAAGGUCACAGUGCUAAGCAGCACUGAAUUGACGGUACCUGCAAAGGAAGCACCGGCUAACUCCGUGCCAGCAGCCGCGGUAAGACGGAGGGGGCGAGCGUUAAUCGGAAUUAUUGGGAGUAAAGCGCUCGUAGGCGGUAUGUCAAGUCAAGGGUGAAAUCCCCGCGCUCAACGUGGGAACUGCCUUUGAAACUGGCAGACUGGAGUGUGUGAGCGGAUAGUGGAAUUCCAGGUGUAGGGGUGAAAUCCGUAGAUAUCUGGAGGAACAUCAGUGGCGAAGGCGACUCUCUGGCACAUAACUGACGCUGAGGCGCGAAAGCGUGGGUAGCAAACAGGAUUAGAUACCCCAGUAGUC